UAGACCUUAAGUUAUACAAACUAAAGGCCUUCAAAGCCUUAUAAGAGCCUCACUCAGGCCUUAGGUUUUAA
rnacentral:tRNA from 1 species